AUUGAACGCUGGCGGCAUGCUUUACACAUGCAAGUCGAACGGUAACAGGGAGCUUGCUCCGCUGACGAGUGGCGAACGGGUGAGUAAUGCAUCGGAACGUACCCAGUCGUGGGGGGAUAACGUAGCGAAAGUUACGCUAAUACCGCAUACGUCCUGAGGGAGAAAGCGGGGGACCGAAAGGCCUCGCGCGAUUGGAGCGGCCGAUGUCGGAUUGGCUAGUUGGUAGGGUAAAGGCCUACCAAGGCGACGAUCCGUAGCGGGUCUGAGAGGAUGAUCCGCCACACUGGGACUGAGACACGGCCCAGACUCCUACGGGAGGCAGCAGUGGGGAAUUUUGGACAAUGGGCGCAAGCCUGAUCCAGCCAUGCCGCGUGAGUGAAGAAGGCCUCGGUUGUAAGCUCUUCAGGUGGAAGAAAAC
rnacentral:rRNA from 1 species